ACCUGGGCUACACACGUGCUACAAUGGGCGGUACAAAGGGUCGCGAACCCGCGAGGGGGAGCCAAUCCCAAAAAGCCGCUCUCAGUUCGGAUUGCAGGCUGCAACUCGCCUGCAUGAAGCCGGAAUCGCUGGUAAUCGCGGAUCAGCAUGCCGCGGUCGAAUACGUUCCCGGGCCUU
rnacentral:rRNA from 1 species